GACGAACGCUGGCGGCGUGCCUAAUACAUGCAAGUCGAGCGGACUUGUGGGAGCUUGCUCCCACAAGUUAGCGGCGGACGGGUGAGUAACACGUGGGCAACCUGCCUAUAAGACUGGGAUAACUUCGGGAAACCGGAGCUAAUACCGGAUAGUUCUUUUCUCCUCAUGGAGAGAAGGGGAAAGAUGGUUUCGGCUAUCACUUAUAGAUGGGGCCCGCGGCGCAUUAGCUAGUUGGUGAGGUAACGGCUCACCAAGGCAACGAUGCGUAGCCGACCUGAGAGGGUGAUCGGCCACACUGGGACUGAGACACGGCCCAGACACCUACGGGAGGCAG
rnacentral:rRNA from 1 species